GCUGGGUGUGGUGGCACAUGUCUGUAAUCCCAGCAGCUCAGGAGGCUGAGGCAGGAGGAUCCAGAGUUCAAAGCCAGCCUCAGCAACAGCAAGUCACUAAACAACUCAGUGAGACCCUGUCUCUA
rnacentral:sRNA from 1 species